rnacentral:rRNA from 1 species
GACGAACGCUAGCGUCGUGCUUAACACAUGCAAGUCGAACGUAGUGGCGAACGGGUGAGUAACACGUUGGUGAUCUGCCUUGCACUUCGGGAUAAGCUUGGGAAACUGGGUCUAAUACCGGAUAGUGCAAGAUGAGCUCGCGGCCUAUCAGCUUGUUGGUGGGGUAAUGGCCUACCAAGUCGUCGACGGGUAUCCGGCCUGAGAGGGUGUACGGCCACAUUGGGAAUGAGAUACGGAACAGACUCCUACGGGAGGCAGUAGUGGGGAAUAUUGCACAAUGGGCGGAAGCCUGACGAAGCGAGGCCGCGUGGGGGAUGAAGGCCUUCGGGUUGUAAACACCUUUGGACAGGGACGCGGUAACUGUAUAAGAAGCACCGGAGAACUACGUGCCAGCCGCCGCGGUAGUAC